rnacentral:rRNA from 1 species
AUGCUUCCCAAGGCCCGAAUCCACGCCGACCCGGCGCCUGACUUCGAGGUCGACCGCUUCGACUGCCUGCCGGCCUCGCUCGUCCUGCUCAUCCUCAACAAGGUCGAGGACGUGCGGUCGCUCGGCCGCUGCUCCGCGGCGUCCAAGCGGCUCUACGGCCUCGUUCCCCUCGUCCACGACGUGUGCGUCAAGAUUGACUGCGUCGUGGCGGUGGACGGCGACGCGGAGGACGCGCUCAACCUGUCCUCGCCCAAGCCCCGGAACAUCCUCUCCAACUUCUUCAAGCUGAUGCUGUCCACAAUCGUCAAGCCGUUCCACAGCAUGCGCAGCCCCAAUGGCGCUGGACGGCCGCUCUUCCCGCAACUCGCGCAGCACUCGCCAGCGCAGGUGCUCCGGAACUUCACCCACAUACGGAACCUUCAGAUCGAGCUCCCUUCGGAGAACGAGCCGUCCUCGGAGGACAAUGGAAGCAUGCCAGAGUCUUUCUACACCAACGGCGGACUCAAACUCCGUGUCGUGUGGACAAUCAGCUCUCUAAUCGCGGCAUCGACGAGGCAUUAUCUUCUCCGGUCAAUCAUCAAGGACCACCCCACAUUUGUGAGCUUGGUGCUGACCGAUGCCGAUGGCCAGGGCACACUGUGCAUGGGAGCAGAGCAACUGAAGGAGUUUAGAGAGAACCAAUUGUCCACCUCAGCAUGCUCCAACAGGACUCAGGUCCCAGCCUGCAACAUGAAGCUCAAAUACACUCCGUAUCUCGAACUGCCGGGAGGAAUUGCAUUGCAGGGUGCUACACUGGUUGUUAUCAAGCCCUCGACCGAUGGAACCGAUGGCUGCCAUAUCAGCUGCAAGGAAACGGAUGCGUUCAUCUCUGGAGCAUUUGAUGGACCAUUCAAAUUUGCUGCGAAGGCGCUGAUGAAGAGGCGCACAUACCUUCUGGAGAUGAAUGGCUUCUAG